GGGGUGUUAAAAUGACUAUCUAAGCAAAUAUUUUGACCUAAGCUAUAUUUAGAAAAUGGUUCUUCAAGACUAAUUUGAGCUCGCUAGACAUGAUUUUGAAUUGACGAGGACAUCGUGUAUGUCUGAGCAAUUGAGCAUUUCAAGAGAAGUCAAUAUUUUAUCUUUACUAAGAACUAAGAAGUGAGACUUUCUAACUCUUAGCUUACUUAUUUUUCAUCAAAAAACAUAUAUUACAUAUAUUGUGUGUUGCUUGUAUUCAUUUAAACUAUCUAUUCAUGCAAGGGCAAGCACAAGUUAUAUUAGUUUGUUUUAAAGCAUUAAGCAUAGACUGUAGACGGGGUAUAUGCUUACAUUUUUUUGAUAUUUUCAGUAGCUUCAUGACAUGUUUGUGAUUUCUGUUAGCCGUUUGGUUUAGUUUAUCAUUCAGUUAGGUAUCACGAUCCUGAACAUUAUGUGACCUUUGGCGAGUUAGUAGCCUUUCAUUAUUGAGCAAGUAGCUCAUAGAUCACAAUAGGUCGGUGGCAUGUGGCUAAGUUCAGCCUAGGCGUGAUGUGACCCUUGGAAAAUUGGUAGCUUUCCAUUAUUGAGCCAGCCAGUACCGAAUAACAUGUGUAGUCCAUAGACUGAAACAGGUGGCUAGCCAUGUAAUUGACGCUCUGGAGACGGGUUAAGACAUAAAGAUCAACUACCCCUAAGCGGUUCAUGUUAUCCAGUAGCAAGGACCUGUUAAGAGUGGUACCAUUGAUUUUCAGAUUGUUCCAGCUCUGUUCAGCUGAGGUGAACCACCACUAGUUCAUGGAGAUCAUUCCACCUCUAUCGUUAUCUUUCUUAUGUUUAUGUAUUGGUAUAUUAUAGUCAUUCCAUGCCUUACUAUGUAAUUUAUACAAAGAUCAAUGUUGAAGUUUGAGGACAGAGGUGCUCAACCACUUAAGCAAGCUCCAUUUGUUGAUAUUAAUAUAGAAUAUAUAGUUGGCGUACUUUAAUAAAAGGUAGUUCAUAAACUUUUGAAUUUUGAUGAAUAUUUAGGUAACUUAGUUGUAAAUUUGAAGACUUUCUACUUCUAGUAUAAUAUGAUACGAUACGAUAUCCUAAAAAAGAGAAACUAACAAAUAAAUCAUGUUUAUAUAUUGAAAUUGGAUUAGAAAAUGAUUCAGAUUUCUCCAUAAAGUUGUAAGGAGUUGAUCGGUAGAAUUUUUUUUCUUUUUUACUACUAUAUAGAAAUGUGAAGCAAAGGAACAAUCAAGGGUAAAGUUAUAAUUUCACCCUAACAAAGCUUCAUUUUUUCACAACUCUAGAAUCAUCCAUUUCAGACAAUAUCAACAAGGAAUACUUUCAACAUCUACAGAGACUUCUUUAGAACAAACAUGCUCAAAAGUAUAUCAAUAGAUCAGAAGAGUACUCUUCCAAUUCUCGAAAAGACUUUCAAUAUUUUUUUACAAUUCAAGGCAUGAUUUUGUUCAAAUCUUCUUCCAUUUUCCUAUAUUCUUCUCGAAUUUCCUUAGUUGGUGAUUUACCAUGGUGACAUUUCUUUGUCUACAAAGAGAAGAAAAAGAUUGAAUUUUUGAAUUAAAGAAAAAUCUGAAAUUGAAAUUUUGGGUUAAGAAAAGUCCUUUCUUGAUUUGCUAGAUUUUGAUUUUGAUACUUAGCUUCCCUCUUAAGCAAAUUGAAAUUUUGUUUUUCAGAUUCGAUCACACAUUUGCUUAUUUGUUAAGAUAUGUGUUUCUUUGAAAAGUCUCUGUUUCAGUACCCUAACUGGUACAAACUGAAACAAAAAUAAUGCUAACAAGGGAAUUGCCUUGAAUCUUGAUGCAAUUACUAUUCUUGAUGAAAUUUUUAGUUUGUCCCUAAGCUGAUCAUUGAUGGAACUAAUGAAACAAAGUUUAUCCACCGUGCUACCUGCAAAAUUUCUAAGAAAAUCAAAAGUCCCACAGGAUUAUUAAUCACUGUAAUGGAAUGAGCCAAAAGUCCCAUAGGAUUAUUAAUCACUGUAGUGGAACGAGCUAAGUUGAAGAAUGAAUAUUAUAGCUAUGAACAAAUAGUUUGGGAUUUGAAUGGAAUGCGUGCACCUCGACAAAAGAUAUUGAGAUAUUGGAUGUGUUUCAUUCUUUGUUUUGGGUACAGAUUUCUUUCCUAUUCUUUUUUAUUUUUUCUUUUCUUUGUAAACUUCUUCUCAAUUUCCUUUGUAUUUGUCAAUUUUUAAGAUUAAUUAUUGUGGAUUAAAUUAGUUGUAAUUGAAAAUUUCCCCCGUUAAUCAUGCAGAUUAAAUUUUUGAAAUUUUACUUGACAGGCAGUGUUAAAUUGGGUAUUUUAAGCCGUUUCUACCAGUUUUGAAGAUAUAGAUUGGAUGGACAUGGGCCAUGACAUAAAGAGUUAAUAUCAAUGCAAUCACUUCAAAAGUAAAAGAGUCGACCUGCAAUGUUCAGAUUGUUGAUAAAGAACGCCUCUGAAAAACAAAGGAAAAAUCAAAAGAUAUAAACUCAUGAUACUACUGAAUGAAGUGGAAUUCCAUAUUUGUCAUUGUACUCAUUAAUACAUCCAUGUGAGUAGUUCUCUA